rnacentral:rRNA from 1 species
UACGUAGGGAGCGAGCGUUGUCCGGAUUUAUUGGGCGUAAAGAGCUCGUAGGCGGUUUGGCAAGUCGGAUGUGAAAGCUCCGGCUCAACCCGGAGACGCCAUUCGAUACUGCCAUGACUAGAGUCCGGUAGGGGGGUGUGGAAUUCCCAGUGUAGCGGUGAAAUGCGUAGAUAUCAGGAGGAAUACCCGUGGCGAAGGCGGUCUCUGGGACGGUACUGACGCUGAGACGCGAAAGCGUGGGGAGCGAACAGG